UACGAAGGGGGCUAGCGUUGCUCGGAAUCACUGGGCGUAAAGGGUGCGUAGGCGGGUUCUUAAGUCAGAGGUGAAAUCCUGGAGCUCAACUCCAGAACUGCCUUUGAUACUGAGAGUCUUGAGUUCGGGAGAGGUGAGUGGAACUGCGAGUGUAGAGGUGAAAUUCGUAGAUAUUCGCAAGAACACCAGUGGCGAAGGCGGCUCACUGGCCCGAUACUGACGCUGAGACGCGAAAGCGUGGGGAGCAAACAGG
rnacentral:rRNA from 1 species